rnacentral:rRNA from 1 species
UACGGUGGGGGCAAGCGUUGUUCGGAAUUACUGGGCGUAAAGGGCUUGUAGGUGGCCAACUAAGUCAGACGUGAAAUCCCUCGGCUUAACCGGGGAACUGCGUCUGAUACUGGAUGGCUUGAGUGUGGGAGAGGGAUGCGGAAUUCCAGGUGUAGCGGUGAAAUGCGUAGAUAUCUGGAGGAACACCGGUGGCGAAGGCGGCAUCCUGGACCAUUACUGACACUGAAAAGCGAAAGCCAGGGGAGCAAACGGG